UUCGAGAAUUGGGGCUUUAGAUCGGAGAGCUAGCUUCAUGCUUUUGAAAAAAGAUGGAGAAUUGGAAUUUUUUUUAUAUAUAGGGUUUUGGAGAGACUGAGACGAGGAUUGCUGAAAGUCAGUGUUAUAUUGGUGAACUGGAUUUUUUGAUAAGAGAGGAAAGGCUGGUAUUCUUGAUUGUUGAUGGAAUGGGAGAUACUUCUGUGGUUGAAAUUCAGAGUUGUCUAGAAGGUUGAGUAUACUAAAUGCAUGUGUGGUUGUAUUAAUCUGACUAUACGGAUAGAGGAUAUUUGCCAACAGUUUAAAGAGGUAUUGGGAGUUGGCA
rnacentral:lncRNA from 1 species